CGUGAAGGACGACGGCCCUAUGGGUUGUAAACUUCUUUUUGUAUAGGGAUAAACCUACUCUCGUGAGAGUAGCUGAAGGUACUAUACGAAUAAGCACCGGCUAACUCCGUGCCAGCAGCCGCGGUAAUACGGAGGGUGCAAGCGUUAUCCGGAUUUAUUGGGUUUAAAGGGUCCGUAGGCGGAUCUGUAAGUCAGUGGUGAAAUCUCAUAGCUUAACUAUGAAACUGCCAUUGAUACUGCAGGUCUUGAGUAAAUUUGAAGUGGCUGGAAUAAGUAGU
rnacentral:rRNA from 1 species